rnacentral:rRNA from 1 species
UAGAUACCCUGGUAGUCCACACAGUAAACGAUGUAUACUCGCGGUUUGCGAUAGACAGUAAGCCGCCAAGCGAAAGCAUUAAGUAUACCACCUGGGGAGUACGCCGGCAACGGUGAAACUCAAAGGAAUUGACGGGGGCCCGCACAAGCGGAGGAACAUGUGGUUUAAUUCGAUGAUACGCGAGGAACCUUACCCGGGCUUGAACUAACGGUGACAGAUCUAGAUGAUAGAUUUUUCUUCGGACAUCCGU